AUCAGUAAUUGGCCUACCUCCUAGGGUUUGAAUAUCCAACACAUGAAUUUUGUGGGGACACUUCAUGUGUAGACCACACUCAUUCUCUGCCAUAGGAAUUUUACCAGAAUUGUACAAAAUGCACCAAACUUCCCUUAACUUCAACAGAGGUAAACUGGGAGGACUCACCUCUCCCUCCUGGGUACUAUGAAGUUUUUGAACGCUAGGAAAACACUAUUUUAUUUUUCUUUCUUUCUUUCUUUCUUUCUUUCUUUCUUUCUUUCUUUCUUUCUUUCUUUCUUUCUCUCUCUCUCUCUCUCUCUCUCUCUCUCUCUCUCUCUCUCUCUCUCUCUUUCUUUCUUUCUAACAAAAAGCUUUUGUUUUAAAAUAUUUGCUCAUAUAAAUAACUUACAUUAAUGGAAGAGAGAUAAGGUGAUGCUAUUUCAUAAUUGACAGUUGUGAGGGUCAUGUCUGGAUUCCUGGGUGCCUUGAUUAAAGUCCUGUGAGUCUAUUGACCAGCCAAACUGCAAGCUGUUUUGAACAUUCUGGAGAAGCAUCAAGGAACUACACAACAGUUCUAGCUCCUGAAGAGAGAGCCCCAGCCAUGAAUCUGUCUAACAGUUGCCUGAGAUUUUCCUCACAACCAUUGUUAACAUGUAAAAGAAUCUUCUCUGGUGACCUCAAGCAGAGGCACUAUUAUGAAUGGCAUAGAGGAGGUAUGCUAUGAUUAGUGAAAACAAAAUCUUUGGCUCCAUGAAGUUUGUAUCAAUUUGGUACAAACAACUCUCUUUUGGCUAGAUAAGCAGGCUGUCUAGUUUUCCUCUGUGAACUGACUGGGAGAUACUCUCUUUUAAAAUUCACCAUUAGUAGAAGAGUUUGAACUGUUAACAUGAGUGGAGACUUGGCAGUGAUGCCAAAAGAAUGGUAGCAGCAAUAACAGUGGAAUGGUAUAAGCAGGGGCACAGCUACAGAAUUGUCUGACUAGUGGCAAAGUAGGAAUUUUGUUGAGUGUGUAAAUGUAAUUCUGUCCUCAUGGGGACUCUGUCCUGGUAAGUUCUAAUCUCAUUGGGAAUGGUCCAUCCAUCCUCCACCCAACUGGUCUUUCUGGGACCCCAUUGGAUUGAAUGUCCUGCCUCCCCUCUCCUCCUUCCCAGCUAUUGGCUAAUCUUUAUUAACCAAUCAGAGGUGACAAAAAACAAUUUUUAAACAACAUUGAGGCAGAAGAUGCUUGGCAGUGCUAAUGUCCAAACUGCAGCCAGAUCUCUGGGCACAGUACUUGGCAUCUGAAAACACAGUUCACAAAAUCAUGCCCUAUCAAGUAUGCCUGGACACCUUGGUAUCAGUAGGAGCAAAGCCACAGAAAGGCUUCGACAGAGAGGAAGCAGAAGGUGGUAGUGGAGGAAGUGGCAGUAGCUGUCAUCUAUAGAUCCAUGAGAGCAGGCACAGCAGCAGAAAUCUUACACUUACUUAAAACAUUAUGAGGUUGGUUUUGGUAAAUCCACCGUAAACCCUGUAAAUGGCAUGGUCAUAAAACAAAGUCAACAUGUUAGAUGUGAAAAUUCCCAGUCCUAAUCUUGUAUCUAUUGAUUUUUGGUAGUGUGACUUUGGGCACAAGGGUUAACAUCUCUCUUAUCUGGACCUCACAUCUGACUCUGAGAUAAUUAGCAUUUCACCUGAAGUGAAGUCACUGACCAUAAAAGAACCAUAAAGAAGAUACAUAUUCAAAAGAAAAAACAGCCUCUGACAGACUCUUAUGUUACAAGAAGAGGCAGAGAAUGAUAGAUGUCUAAAUCCAUUCAGUAUAUGUAAGCAUUCACUGAAUCAAGCAAAAGGAAUUUGUUUUGCUGUUAUUGUCCAUUGACUUCUUCACUACCAGUUGUUUAUCUACUCCAGAUCCAAUGGGCAUAGCCCUCACAUCAUAAACUAUGGUUCUUGAGUUCCUCUUUGCCCUGACAUUUACAGGAAAUCUGCACAUGUCUCAGCAGAUAAAUAACUUACACAAACACAUACGCAAAGAAGACAAACCAGUGUCAUACACUUUAGCCUCCAUUCACAUACCAAUCUCACCUUUGCUGAUCCACCUUACCUGUUGCAUAAGGAACCAUCAGAAUGUUUCCAUGAAAUAAGAU
rnacentral:lncRNA from 1 species